rnacentral:rRNA from 1 species
CCUACGGGGUGCAGCAGUGGGGAAUAUUGGACAAUGGGCGAAAGCCUGAUCCAGCCAUGCCGCGUGUGUGAAGAAGGCCUUCGGGUUGUAAAGCACUUUCAGUGGGGAAGAAAGCCUUGGGGCUAAUACCCUCGAGGAAGGACAUCACCCACAGAAGAAGCACCGGCUAACUCCGUGCCAGCAGCCGCGGUAAUACGGAGGGUGCGAGCGUUAAUCGGAAUUACUGGGCGUAAAGCGCGCGUAGGCGGUCUGAUAAGCCGGUUGUGAAAGCCCCGGGCUCAACCUGGGAACGGCAUCCGGAACUGUCAGGCUAGAGUGCAGGAGAGGAAGGUAGAAUUCCCGGUGUAGCGGUGAAAUGCGUAGAGAUCGGGAGGAAUACCAGUGGCGAAGGCGGCCUUCUGGACUGACACUGACGCUGAGGUGCGAAAGCGUGGGUAGCAAACAGGAUUAGAUACCCCGGAGUC